rnacentral:lncRNA from 1 species
UGAGGAGAAAACAUCUGUACAUCAUUCUGCACAAUCUCAGUGUUGGCAGUGCUACCGGGUAUGGACUCCGACACAACCUGAGCUGGGUGUGUGGAGCAAAAGUAGAACACUGUGUCAGAGGGAUCAGCCCAAUUCAUGUGCGUCAGAGAAGUUCAGCAAGCUUU